rnacentral:lncRNA from 1 species
GUCCCAUCAAUUACUAUCACCUUCCGUAGAUAUUUAUAUCCAGAUAUCGAUGCACCGAAAGCGAAGAACGGAUACUUGAAAAGUACAUUCGCAUCUUUGUCCAUCGAGGUGUGCAUGUCCGUUAUUGUUCCUGGAUUCGUUGUCUUCAGCAAGUGCAUGUACGUGGACAGAGGACAUUCGUCACUGUUGAAAACUGCCAUAUUAACAUAAGGAUCCCAAUCAGGCGGGUAUUCUUCGUUUAUCCGGUCUGUCCACUCGUCAAAAUCAUAAUCUGAUUCCUCUCCCGAACCAAGAGAUGUUUGUCUUGAUGGAUCAUUCGCUUCAUCAAAUAGGUCCCCCAACAUGUCCACUGCAUCUUGUUCCUCCACCUCCUCCUCUCUUAUUCUUUUAUGUUCCUUACCCCUUUCGCCAACGUCAGUUUGUGCCUUG